GAUGAACGCUGGCGGCGUGCCUAAUACAUGCAAGUCGAGCGAACAGACGAGGAGCUUGCUCCUCUGACGUUAGCGGCGGACGGGUGAGUAACACGUGGAUAACCUACCUAUAAGACUGGGAUAACUUCGGGAAACCGGAGCUAAUACCGGAUAAUAUAUUGAACCGCAUGGUUCAAUAGUGAAAGACGGUUUUGCUGUCACUUAUAGAUGGAUCCGCGCCGCAUUAGCUAGUUGGUAAGGUAACGGCUUACCAAGGCAACGAUGCGUAGCCGACCUGAGAGGGUGAUCGGCCACACUGGAACUGAGACACGGUCCAGACUCCUACGGGAGGCAGCAGGAGGGAAUCUUCCGCAAUGGGCGAAAGCCUGACGGAGCAACGCCGCGUGAGUGAUGAAGGUCUUCGGAUCGUAAAACUCUGUUAUUAGGGAAGAACAAAUGUGUAAGUAACGAUGCACGUCUUGACGGUACCUAAGCAGAAAGCCACGGCUAACUACGU
rnacentral:rRNA from 1 species